GACGAACGCUGGCGGCGUGCUUAACACAUGCAAGUCGAACGGUGAAGUGCCUUCCUUUUUGGUGGGUGGGGAUGAGCGGCCAACGGGGGAGUAACACGUGAGUAACCUGCUCCCUCCUUCUGGACAACCGCAUGACAGUGUGGCUAAUACGGGAUAUUCUGGGUCUGUCGCAUGAUGGGUCUGGGACAGAUUUGGUGUCGGUGGGGGAUGGGCUCGCGGCGUAUUAGCUUGUUGGUGGGGUAAUGGCCUACCAAGGCGGCGAUGAGUAGCCGGCCUGAGAGGAGGGUCGACGGUCACAGAGGGGCGGAGACACCGCCCAGACUACUAGAGGAAGCAGUAGUGGAGAAUACGGCACGAUGGGAGGAAGGCUGAUGCAGCGACGCGGGGGGAGGGAUGGUGGCCGUCGGGUUGUGAACCUCUUUCGGGAGUGAAGCAGGGCUGCCUUGUUUGUGGGUGGGUUGACGGUAGCUGGACAAGAAGCGCCGGCUAACUACGUG
rnacentral:rRNA from 1 species